AUACGGAGGGAGCUAGCGUUGUUCGGAAUUACUGGGCGUAAAGCGCACGUAGGCGGCUUUGUAAGUUAGAGGUGAAAGCCCGGGGCUCAACUCCGGAACUGCCUUUAAGACUGCAUCGCUUGAAUCCAGGAGAGGUGAGUGGAAUUCCGAGUGUAGAGGUGAAAUUCGUAGAUAUUCGGAAGAACACCAGUGGCGAAGGCGGCUCACUGGACUGGUAUUGACGCUGAGGUGCGAAAGCGUGGGGAGCAAACAG
rnacentral:rRNA from 1 species